rnacentral:rRNA from 1 species
UUAAAAAGCUCGUAGUUGGAUUUCUGCGGGGGCGGGGCGGCCGACAACAACUCGUUGUUCGAGCUAGCACUUCCCCUGCAUCCUGCCGCGAACCGUGCUACCAUUAGUUUGGUGGCGCUGGGGAUCGGCUCGUUUACUUUGAGAAAAAUAGAGUGAUCAAAGCAGGCCACACGCCUUGAAUAAGUUAGCAUGGAAUAAUGAUAAAGGACUUCGGUUCUAUUUUGUUGGUGUUCGGGACUGAAGUAAUGAUUGAUAGGGACAGUUGGGGCGGUCCGUAUUCCAAAGCGAGAGGUGAAAUUCUUAGACCUUCGGAGGACGAACAGCUGCGAAAGCGUUCCGCAAGGAUGUUCCCUUUGAUCAAGAACGAAAGUUGGGGGAUCGAAGACGAUCAGAUACCGUCGUAGUCUCAACUAUAAACUAUACCAGCUAGGGAUCGGCCAACGUUUUACUUAACCCCGACUUGGGUCGGCACCUUAUGA